rnacentral:rRNA from 1 species
AUUGAACGCUGGCGGAAUGCUUUACACAUGCAAGUCGAACGGCAGCACGGACUUCGGUCUGGUGGCGAGUGGCGAACGGGUGAGUAAUAUAUCGGAACGUGCCCAGUCGUGGGGGAUAACGUAGCGAAAGCUACGCUAAUACCGCAUACGAUCUACGGAUGAAAGCGGGGGAUCGCAAGACCUCGCGCGAUUGGAGCGGCCGAUAUCAGAUUAGGUAGUUGGUGAGGUAAAGGCUCACCAAGCCGACGAUCUGUAGCUGGUCUGAGAGGACGACCAGCCACACUGGGACUGAGACACGGCCCAGACUCCUACGGGAGGCAGCAGUGGGGAAUUUUGGACAAUGGACGCAAGUCUGAUCCAGCCAUUCCGCGUGCAGGACGAAGGCCUUCGGGUUGUAAACUGCUUUUGUACAGAACGAAAAGGUCUCUAUUAAUACUAGGGGCUCAUGACGGUACUGUAAGAAUAAGCACCGGCUAACUACGUGCCAGCCGCCGCCGUAA